rnacentral:rRNA from 1 species
GGUGCUUGCAUCAUGAUUUACAUUUGAGUGAGUGGCGAACUGGUGAGUAACACGUGGGAAACCUGCCCAGAAGCGGGGGAUAACACCUGGAAACAGAUGCUAAUACCGCAUAACAACUUGGACCGCAUGGUCCGAGUUUGAAAGAUGGCUUCGGCUAUCACUUUUGGAUGGUCCCGCGGCGUAUUAGCUAGAUGGUGGGGUAACGGCUCACCAUGGCAAUGAUACGUAGCCGACCUGAGAGGGUAAUCGGCCACAUUGGGACUGAGACACGGCCCAAACUCCUACGGGAGGCAGCAGUAGGGAAUCUUCCACAAUGGACGAAAGUCUGAUGGAGCAACGCCGCGUGAGUGAAGAAGGGUUUCGGCUCGUAAAACUCUGUUGUUAAAGAAGAACAUAUCUGAGAGUAACUGUUCAGGUAUUGACGGUAUUUAACCAGAAAGCCACGGCUAACUACGUGCCAGCAGCCGCGGUAAUACGUAGGUGGCAAGCGUUGUCCGGAUUUAUUGGGCGUAAAGCGAGCGCAGGCGGUUUUUUAAGUCUGAUGUGAAAGCCUUCGGCUCAACCGAAGAAGUGCAUCGGAAACUGGGAAACUUGAGUGCAGAAGAGGACAGUGGAACUCCAUGUGUAGCGGUGAAAUGCGUAGAUAUAUGGAAGAACACCAGUGGCGAAGGCGGCUGUCUGGUCUGUAACUGACGCUGAGGCUCGAAAGUAUGGGUAGCAAACAGGAUUAGAUACCCUGGUAGUCCAUACCGUAAACGAUGAAUGCUAAGUGUUGGAGGGUUUCCGCCCUUCAGUGCUGCAGCUAACGCAUUAAGCAUUCCGCCUGGGGGAGUACGGCCGCAAGGCUGAAACUCAAAGGAAUUGACGGGGGGCCCGCACAAGCGGUGGAGCAUGUGGGUUUAAUUCGAAGCUACGCGAAGAACCUUACCAGGUCUUGACAUACUAUGCAAAUCUAAAAAAAUUAGACGUUCCCUUCCGGGGACAUGGAAUACAGGUGGGUGCAUGGGUUGUCCUCCAGCUCCGGGUCCUGGAAAUGUUGGGGUUAAGU